UACAGAGGUCUCAACCGUUGUUCGGAUUCAUUGGGCGUAAAGGGUGCGUAGGCGGUCGGGUAAGUCGGAUGUGAAAUCUCAGGGCUCAACCCUGAAACUGCAUUCGAUACUGCCUGGCUAGGGUACUGGAGAGGAGACUGGAAUUUACGGUGUAGCGGUGAAAUGCGUAGAUAUCGUAAGGAAGACCAGUGGCGAAGGCGGGUCUCUGGACAGUUCCUGACGCUGAGGCACGAAGGCCAGGGGAGCAAACGGG
rnacentral:rRNA from 1 species